CCUACGGGAGGCAGCAGUGAGGAAUAUUGGUCAAUGGGCGCGAGCCUGAACCAGCCAUGUAGCGUGAAGGAUGACUGCCCUACGGGUUGUAAACUUCUUUUAUAAAGGAAUAAACUCAGGUACGUGUGUCUUUCUGUAUGUAUCUUAUGAAUAAGGAUCGGCUAACUCCGUGCCAGCAGCCGCGGUAAUACGGAGGAUCCGAGCGUUAUCCGGAUUUAUUGGGUUUAAAGGGUGCGUAGAUGGGUUGAUAAGUUAGAGGUGAAAUGUCCGAGCUUAACUCGGGAACUGCCUCUGAUACUGUUGGGCUAGAGAGUAGAUGCGGUAGGCGGAAUGUAUGGUGUAGCGGUGAAAUGCUUAGAGAUCAUACAGAACACCGAUUGCGAAGGCAGCUUACCAAUCUAUAUCUGACGUUGAGGCACGAAAGCGUGGGGAGCAAACAGGAUUAGAUACCCUAGUAGUC
rnacentral:rRNA from 1 species